rnacentral:rRNA from 1 species
CCUACGGGUGGCAGCAGUGGGGAAUAUUGCACAAUGGGGGAAACCCUGAUGCAGCGACGCCGCGUGAGUGAAGAAGUAUUUCGGUAUGUAAAGCUCUAUCAGCAGGAACGAGACAAGACGGUACCUGACUAAGAAGCCCCGGCUAACUACGUGCCAGCAGCCGCGGUAAUACGUAGGGGGCAAGCGUUAUCCGGAAUCACUGGGUGUAAAGGGAGCGUAGACGGCUGUGCAAGCCUGAAGUGAAAGGCGGGGGCCCAAACCCUGGACUGCUUUGGGAACUGUACGGCUGGAGUGCAGGAGGGGUAAGUGGAAUGCGUGGUGUAGCGGUGAAAUGCGUAGAUAUUAGGAGGAACACCAGUGGCGAAGGCGGCUUACUGGACUGUAACUGACGUUGAGGCUCGAAAGCGUGGGGAGCGAACAGGAUUAGAUACCCUUGUAGUC